AGAGGUUCGAAGGCGAUCAGAUACCGCCCUAGUUCUAACCAUAAACGAUGCCAGCCAGCGAUCCGCCGAAGUUCCUCCGAUGACUCGGCGGGCAGCUUCCGGGAAACCAAAGCUUUUGGGUUCCGGGGGAAGUAUGGUUGCAAAGCUGAAACUUAAAGGAAUUGACGGAAGGGCACCACCAGGAGUGGAGCCUGCGGCUUAAUUUGACUCAACACGGGAAACCUCACCAGGCCCGGACACCGGAAGGAUUGACAGAUUGAGAGCUCUUUCUUGAUUCGGUGGGUGGUGGUGCAUGGCCGUUCUUAGUUGGUGGAGCGAUUUGUCUGGUUAAUUCCGGUAACGAACGAGACUCUAGCCUGCUAAAUAGACGAUUUCCGGUAUCCACAAUAGUGCUACCGGCGAAAUCAAUAUCUUCUUAGAGGGACAGGCGGCUUUCAGCCGCACGAAACUGAGCAAUAACAGGUCUGUGAUGCCCUUAGAUGUCCUGGGCCGCACGCGCGCUACACUGAAGGAAUCAGCGUGUACACCCUGGCCGAAAGGCUCGGGCAACCCGUUGAACCUCCUUCGUGCUAGGGAUUGGGGCUUGCAAUUGUUCCCCAUGAACGAGGAAUUCCCAGUAAGCGCGAG
rnacentral:rRNA from 1 species